rnacentral:rRNA from 1 species
UGGGGAAUUUUGGACAAUGGGGGCAACCCUGAUCCAGCAAUGCCGCGUGUGUGAAGAAGGCCUUCGGGUUGUAAAGCACUUUUGUCCGGAAAGAAAACGUCGUGGUUAAUACCCGUGGCGGCUGACGGUACCGGAAGAAUAAGCACCGGCUAACUACGUGCCAGCAGCCGCGGUAAUACGUAGGGUGCAAGCGUUAAUCGGAAUUACUGGGCGUAAAGCGUGCGCAGGCGGUCCGCUAAGACAGAUGUGAAAUCCCCGGGCUUAACCUGGGAACUGCAUUUGUGACUGGCGGGCUAGAGUAUGGCAGAGGGGGGUAGAAUUCCACGUGUAGCAGUGAAAUGCGUAGAGAUGUGGAGGAAUACCGAUGGCGAAGGCAGCCCCCUGGGCCAAUACUGACGCUCAUGCACGAAAGCGUGGGGGAGCAAACAGGAUUAGAUACCCUGGUAGUCCACGCCCUAAACGAUGUCAACUAGUUGUCGGGUCUUCAUUGACUUGGUAACGUAGCUAACGCGUGAAGUUGACCGCCUGGGGAGUACGGUCGCAAGAUUAAAACUUAAAUGAAUUGACGGGGUC